rnacentral:tRNA from 1 species
GAAGAAAUACCUAAGAGGUCAACAGGAACAGAUUGUAAAUCUGCUGCGAAAGCUUCAGAGGUUCGAAUCCUCUUUUCUUCA